rnacentral:lncRNA from 10 species
CAUGAGGAAUGUAUACCUUAUACCUUGCUACUUGGUAGUUUUUAAAUUCAGUGACCUACAGAUGAAAGAAAAAUAUCAAAACUCCCAAGAAGGCAACAGGGACCCACUGUACCCCAAGAGGCACUCCAAGUUUCCUUCAGAGAGGAAAAAGAGAGACGGGGCUCCUAGAACCCACUCUCCCCAAAGGCGAGUUUCCCAGGCGCCGCUCGUGCUGUUGCUGGAAAGCGAGCUCGCUGUAGACCGGCCGCGACACCAUGUAGCUGCAGCUGUACUCGGGGAGCUGCGGCGGCUCCGACCUGCCGCCUGGCGCUGCCAUGACCUGCGAGCCAGAGGACAGCGAGGAGGGAGGACACGCGACAUGAUCUCAUUCUGUUGCCCAGGGUGAGUGCAGUGGCACCUUCAUGGCUCAUUGCAGUCUCGAUCUCCCAGGCUCAAGCGAUCCUCCCACCUCAGCCUCCCAAAGUGCUGGGAUUGCAGGCGUGAGCCACCUUGCCCAGCCCAUUCUGCAAUCUUCGGAAGGAAGUCACUAUAUGCAGCCUAUGCUUGAGGAGUGGGGAGUUGAAUUCCACAUCCUUGAGGGCAGAAUACCUAAAUAAAUUAUUUGGAAUUCUUCUGCAAGAGAGAUUUGUCUCUUCUCCUCCAUUUAUUCAUUUAUUCAAUUAUUUCUUCAUGUCAUAAAAUCAUGAAUAUUUAUUUUAUAUGUUGCAUUAUAAACCAACAGUACUUUUUAAGAAAUCAAAUUGUUCCAGGCUUGGCCAUUAGGAGCUCUUUCAGUUGGCUUCUGUGCCCUUUGACAUAGCCCCACCAAUGUAGGGUGGUUUUGUCUUUUGGUUUUGGAGCAUUUUCUUACUUUUUGGCACUGUAAGAUGCUCCAGGCUGAUCUCGUGUAUUCCUGUGUAAAAUCAGCCAUUUCUCAAAGGAACACUUGUUCCUUUUAUCGGUGAAUGGUAUAAGCAACCAAUAUCUGGGUGACAGAGUGUUCCCUGCUGCAGGGGAAUUGUUGCUCUAGGCCCUUUCAGCUGACAGAGCAAAGAAAUAUGUGUGUAUAUCAACCAAGGCAUAUAUACACAUCAAUAAUAUUUCUAUAUCUAAUCAUCUAUAUUUCUAUUAAAUUAAACAUAAGUUCAUACUAAUUAAGAGAUAUUUUUAUUUUAUAGUAUUUUGUACUAUUUGAGGUGAUUUUUUAAUAGGUCAAUUUGUUACUUUGUCAAUCAUUUUAAAAGAAAUUAUAUUAUGUUUCAAAUGCCCUAGUGAUAAGAUAAAUUAUAUAUACGUAUGUCUUGAUAGUUGUGGAUUACUAGAUGCAAAACAAAUGGUCUAUUGGUAUUGUUUGUUUGUUUGUUUGUUUUAGAGACAGGGUCACACUCUGUCACCCAGGCUGGAGUGCAGUGGUGUGAUGAUAGCUCAUUGCAGACUCGAUCUCCUGGGCUCAAGCGAUCCUUCCACCUCAGCCUUCCAAAUAGCUGGGAUUACAGGCAUGCACCACCAUACCUGGCUAGUUUUUAAUUUUUUGUAGAGAUGGGGUCUCACUAUGUUGCCUAGGAUAGUCUUGAAUUCCUGGUCUCAAGUGACC